rnacentral:lncRNA from 1 species
GUCAAAUCAUGUCUCUAAUAUAAUGUACUAUACUGAUAAAAGAUAAAAUUAUACCACCUCGAUGCCAGUCACAGAACCAGAACUAUAUCCUGCAACUCUUCUUAAAGAACAUUCUGAACUGACAAAGGCAGCCGAAGGUACUCAACAGUGAUAGCAUCCUUUAACAGAUCUCUGUGCCAGAGAUUUCCCUGAGGGGUUCCCAGGGAUGCCACCAUGGUUCCCAAAGCUCAGACCUUGAAGUCAGAGUCUGUGUGAAUCUGGAUUGCAGUGACUGUGACAUUAACCUCAGGCCCACGUCCCUGGAGGCAGGCCCCUUCUUCCCCCAAAGCUCAGAGCUGGCAAGGAUAUCCUCACCUUGUUCUGCCCUCGGGUAUCUGCUGGGCUAGGAGGUGUGGGGAGAGUGGGUGGAGUAAUUCCAGCUCCAAUGGAGCAGUUUCUAAAAAGUCAUUUCCAUAAAAUAUAGCUUCAAAGAGAGAAAGCCAUUCUGCACUUACCCAGACUAUGUCUUCUUCAAACUCACCUCCCGACACUACAUGUUAAGAAGUGGAAGAGUGGCCCAGGGUUUCCCUGGAGAUCUGGUGCCAUGCACUGUUCCAUGGGCUUACAUGAUCACAAAUCUGCCCCCUCUGAGUGUGCACCAGACAGCACCUUACUGCGGAUUUUCUCCCUGGCAGGAUGUUUCAAGGGUUUUUCAGGAAUGGGCUGCAAUUUGGAAGUUUAUGUGCCAGUGCAGUGAAUUUCUCUCUCUGCUCUCUCUCCUUGCCUCCCAGGAUCCAUCUGAUAAAGUUGCAGAGGCAUCUUGGAUUUACAACACCCCCUGCCAGCCCCUCACUGAACCACACAUCAUCUGCAGCAGGAGGCGUUGGAUUACAUUUGGCUGGAGCGCCCGCAUCAACUCCAGUUGUCCCUGAAUUGGAACUGAUGGGCCUCACGUGCCACAGCCAACAGUUUGUCUUCACCCACUCCCCUCUCUGGAAUGAACCUUUCUCUGGGAAAACAAGAAACCUACGUGCCAUCCUGGGUGAGAGACAAACAGGAGCUGCAUCCCAGGAUCGCAUCCCCAGUAUGAUGGGUUCCCCACAGCAAGCCACACUUCAAGCAUCUCUGGAAAGACCUUCUGAACCACAGGACACAAAUGCUCCCUCUGGAGGACCGGAGCCUCUGUGUUCCUCUCAGCUCACAGGCAUCCAUUCUUCCUGCAUUCAGGCUCCUUGAGGAAUGCCUUUAGCUCUAGCUAUUGCAAGCUUUUAAGAACUUAUUGGAACACAAAUGCUCAUUUCAAGGAAACAGAUAACAGUUGCAAAUGGAUUAAACGUAAUCCCUGUGCUGGAGCCCUUGAAGGAAAAGAGAUGGGGGUUUCUGGGCUGUGAGAUGAAGCUUGGUCAAGGAUGCUUGCUUUGAGGACUCUGCUCUGAAAACCCAGGUAAGCAAAAUAGUGGAAUGUUAGCCCUUAAAUGAACUUUGAACCCAACCCAACCCCAUUCGCUUAUAGAGGAGGAAACCAAGGCUCAGAAUGAAACAAGCAAGGCCAAGGUUAACACAACCAGCCAGUGACAGGCCUCCCCAACAGCCUGGGCCUGGGCUCUUAGCUCUCCCCCAUGCGGUUUUUCGUCCUGGGAGAAAGUGAAAUUAAAUAAAGACAAAAAGUUAGUUCUAAACUCUGGCCUG